ACACUGAGAGGAGAUUUGAGCCUUUCCUCCUCCUCCAGUAGCAGAUACAGAAAAGCAAACGAAGGCCAGCGUGUGCAGAUAAGGGUGACUCUUAGCAAUCAGGCACCUCCAUGGCCAGCCCGAGAGUUCUGGUAACAAUAGAACUAUCAGGCACCUCCGUGGCCAGCCCGAGAGUUCUGGUAACAGUAGAACCAUCAGGCACCUCUGUGGCCAGCCUGAGGGACCCAGCAACAGCAGAAAACAUCAUCACUAUCUGCUAAGAGAGACAUUGGACAUGGAUUUUAAAGAAGACAGAUUCUUGUCUUUAUGCUGAUGAGGGCAAUGGUUUUGUCGUAUAAAAUAACACCAAGAGGCCAUCUUGUAAUGGAGGGAGAAAGAAAGGACGUCUGUCCAGUGGCAUUCUAACAGAAAAGUAUCCAGAAGCCACCUGCAUCCCUAUCACACCAAGCUCCACAGGCAGAAGAGAUACCACUUGUGGCUUCUCAAAAAGCUCUCCUGGAUGAGGGCCCUGCACAAACAGCUAUCUGGAGAGAGCCUGACCGGAUGUGAAUGCACGGGGCAGCGAGAGAACAUGUUGUGUGGGAAGAAAAAAAAGAACAGAAUGUUUACUAACCAGAUAAUUGGCAGGUAGCAGACAUCAGACAUGUUCUUGUUCUUUUAUUUUCCCACCCGAUUGAAUUUAGCCAGUAGCAUGGCUUGCUUUAACAAAUAAAAUGCAGCCGGUAUCUGUCUGAAAUUUA